rnacentral:rRNA from 1 species
UGGGGAAUAUUGCACAAUGGGCGAAAGCCUGAUGCAGCGACGCCGCGUGAGGGAUGACGGCCUUCGGGUUGUAAACCUCUUUCGACAGGGACGAAGCGUAAGUGACGGUACCUGUAGAAGAAGCACCGGCCAACUACGUGCCAGCAGCCGCGGUAAUACGUAGGGUGCGAGCGUUGUCCGGNAUUACUGGGCGUAAAGAGCUUGUAGGCGGUUUGUCGCGUCGUCUGUGAAAACUCACAGCUCAACUGUGAGCUUGCAGGCGAUACGGGCAGACUUGAGUACUGCAGGGGAGACUGGAAUUCCUGGUGUAGCGGUGAAAUGCGCAGAUAUCAGGAGGAACACCGGUGGCGAAGGCGGGUCUCUGGGCAGUAACUGACGCUGAGAAGCGAAAGCGUGGGUAGCGAACAGGAUUAGAUACCCUGGUAGUCCACGCCGUANCGGUGGGUACUAGGUGUGGGUUUCCUUCCACGGGAUCCGUGCCGUAGCUACGCAUUAANUACCCCGCCUGGGGAGUACGGCCGCAAGGC